CAUUCUUCAAAAAAAAUAAUAAAAAAAAUAAUAUGACUCCAAUAAUAUACCAUAUACGAAAAAUCUUUUUCUUAGUCUGCAUCUUGUCUCUAAUUCAGAUCGCAUUCGAAUUAGAGAAAAGAUAAUAUUAUGACUUAUCAGCUAUAUCCAACCACCCUUAUUGGAUCCUCUCUGAUGAUGCCAAAAAUCACAAUCCAAAUCCAAUUAGGCAUAGAGAAAUUGGCAUGGAUCUAGAUGUGGCACA
rnacentral:lncRNA from 1 species